rnacentral:rRNA from 1 species
UACGAAGGGGGCUAGCGUUGUUCGGAUUUACUGGGCGUAAAGCGCACGUAGGCGGAUUGUUAAGUCGGGGGGUGAAAUCCUGGAGCUCAACUCUAAGUAUCUCCUGAUACUGGCUUUCUAGAGGCUGGAAGAGGUUAGUGGAAUUCCCAGUGUAGAGGUGAAAUUCGUAGAUAUUGGGAAGAACACCAGUGGCGAAGGCGGCUAACUGGUCCGGUACUGACGCUGAGGUGCGAAAGCGUGGGGAGCAAACAGG